rnacentral:tRNA from 1 species
GCUGAUAUGGCUCAGUUGGUAGAGCGCACCCUUGGUAAGGGUGAGGUCCCCAGUUCGACUCUGGGUAUCCU